rnacentral:rRNA from 1 species
GACGAACGCUGGCGGCAUGCUUAACACAUGCAAGUCGAACGGUAAGGCCCUUUCGGGGGUACACGAGUGGCGAACGGGUGAGUAACACGUGGGUGAUCUGCCCUGCACUUUGGGAUAAGCCUGGGAAACUGGGUCUAAUACCGGAUAGGACUACGCGAUGCAUGUCGUGUGGUGGAAAGCUUUUGCGGUGUGGGAUGGGCCCGCGGCCUAUCAGCUUGUUGGUGGGGUGAUGGCCUACCAAGGCGACGACGGGUAGCCGGCCUGAGAGGGUGUCCGGCCACACUGGGACUGAGAUACGGCCCAGACUCCUACGGGAGGCAGCAGUGGGGAAUAUUGCACAAUGGGCGCAAGCCUGAUGCAGCGACGCCGCGUGGGGGAUGACGGCCUUCGGGUUGUAAACCCCUUUCAGCACAGACGAAGCGUAAGUGACGGUAUGUGCAGAAGAAGCACCGGCCAACUACGUG